AUUGAACGCUUGCGGCAGGCCUAACACAUGCAAGUCGAACGAGUGGCGGACGGGUGAGUAAUGUCUGGGAAACUGCCUGAUGGAGGGGGCUAACUUCUGGAAACGGUAGCUAAUACCGCAUACCAUCAGAUGUGCCCCGCUGGGAUUAGCUAGUUGGUGGGGUAACGGCUCACCAAGGUGACGAUCCCUAGCUGGUCUGAGAGGAUGACCAGCCACACUGGAACUGAGACACGGUGCAGACUCCUGCGGGAGGCAGCAGUGGGGAAUAUUGCACAAUGGGCGCAAGCCUGAUGCAGCCAUGCCGGGUGGAUGAAGAAGGCCUUCGGGUUGUAAAGUACUUUCAGCGGGGAGGCGUUACCCGAAGAAGAAGCACCGGCUAGCUCCGAGCCAGCAGCCGCGGUAAUAC
rnacentral:rRNA from 1 species